rnacentral:rRNA from 1 species
AGAACGAACGCUGGCGGCAGGCCUCAAACAUGCAAGUCUAGGGGGUGCAGCAAUGCAUCACCGGCGGACGGGUGCGUAACACGUGGGAAUAUACCUUUGGUUCGGAACAACGCAGGGAAACUUGCGCUAAUACCGAAUGUGCCCUUACGGGGAAAGAUUUAUCGCCAAAGGAUUAGCCCGCGUCCGAUUAGCUAGUUGGUGAGGUAAUGGCUCACCAAGGCUCCGAUCGGUAGCUGUUCUGAGAGGAAGAUCAGCCACACUGGGACUGAGACACGGCCCAGACUCCUACGGGAGGCAGCAGUUGGGAAUCUUGGACAAUGGGGGAAACCCUGAUCCAGCCAUGCCGCGUGAGUGAUGAAGGCCUUCGGGUUGUAAAACUCUUUCGACGGGGACGAUAAUGACGGUACCCGUAGAAGAAGCUCCGGCUAACUUCGUGCCAGCAGCCGC